UCAGUUCGGAUUGUAGUCUGNAACCCGACUACAUGAAGCUGGAAUCGCUAGUAAUCGCAGAUCAGAAUGCUGCGGUGAAUACGUUCCCGGGUCUUGUACACACCGCCCGUCAAGCCAUGGGAGCCGGGGGCGCCUGAAGUCCGGGACCGCGAGGACCGGCCUAAGGCGAAACUGGUGACGUGGGGCUAAGUCGUAACAAGGUACC
rnacentral:rRNA from 1 species